UGGUGGCCAUAGCGAGGGAGCCGCACCCGAUCCCAUCCCGAACUCGGCCGUGAAAGCCCUCUGCGCCGAUGGUACUGCGUCUUAAGGCGUGGGAGAGUAGGUCGCUGCCA
rnacentral:rRNA from 1 species